UACGGGGGGGGCAAGCGUUGUUCGGAAUUACUGGGCGUAAAGGGUCUGUAGGUGGCCAACUAAGUCAGACGUGAAAUCCCUCAGCUUAACUGGGGAACUGCGUCUGAUACUGGUUGGCUUGAGUGCAGGAGAGGAAUGCGGAAUUCCAGGUGCAGCGGUGAAAUGCGUAGAUAUCUGGAGGAACACCGGUGGCGAAGGCGGCAUUCUGGACUGCAACUGACACUGAAAGACGAAAGCCAGGGGAGCAAACGGG
rnacentral:rRNA from 1 species